AGUUCCGGUCGCUAGGCAUGCUGGUCUUUCGCGCGCGGGUCUUUUCUUGUCUUCUGCAACCACGUUGGUGUCUGCGCUAGUGUUGAUGUCUGCGCCGAACAAGAGAUGAACUCGCAGGAAUGCGGAGAAGCGGUAGAAGUGGCGCCUAGGCGCUAUUUAAAAUCGGCCCGGCUGGAGUAUAACGAUAAACAUAUAUCAGCCGUUCAGAAGCGCCCCACAAUAUGGGACUGCAGAAGGGCCGACUACAGAGACCAACGGAAGAAAACAACUGCGUGGCAGGAUGUCGUCGCUGAAAUCGGUGGCGACCCAGAAGGUUCCACUGCCCAAGCUCGCUGGAAGAGCUUGAGGGACACAUUCUCAAAGAAGCACCGCACCUGGAAAACUGGUGCGCCAAGUGGGUCUGGGGCAAGCGAUAGCAAAGAAGUCCGCCGGCCUUAUCUUAAACUGCUGUUUUUUUGAAGGAUUUAGUUGACAUCGGAAGCACUACAAGCAAUAUCCCGCC